GUAGGUGGCAAGCGUUGUCCGGAAUUAUUGGGGCGCAAAGCGCGCGCAGGCGGUUCUUUAAGUCUGAUGUGAAAGCCCACGGGCUCAACCGUGGAGGGUCAUUGGAAACUGGAGAACUUGAGUACAGAAGAGGAAAGCGGAAUUCCACGUGUAGCGGUGAAAUGCGUAGAGAUGUGGAGGAACACCAGUGGCGAAGGCGGCUUUCUGGUCUGUAACUGACGCUGAGGCGCGAAAGCGUGGGGAGCAAACAGGAUUAGAUACCCUGGUAGUCCACGCCGUAAACGAUGAGUGCUAAGUGUUAGGGGGUUUCCGCCCCUUAGUGCUGCAGCUAACGCAUUAAGCACUCCGCCUGGGGAGUACGGCCGCAAGGCUG
rnacentral:rRNA from 1 species